CCCACCACGUACCUGAGAGCGUUGUCCAAAGACACUGAAAAAUGUCCCUGCAGCCCUUCCAGGCCUAAGUAGAGAAGUUUGUGGAUCCCCAGACCCUCAUUUAACAAAAGGGUAAACAUGACCCACACCUUAAAAAUGAAGAGAAGAGAGGCCUGAGCUCCUCAGCUCUCACUGUGUGCCCUCCAGGGAGAACUGAGGGUGAGCUGCAACACUGAACAGGACAUGUGAGGAUUUGGGGUCUGCAAUGGGUUGAGGUAAUCAAAUGUAAUAACUCACCUGUUCUGUCUGGUUUUGCACAUCUGUGAAGUGAUGAAGAGGAAACAACUUCACCACAAUGCACAGGGACCUGUGAAGUUCACUCCUGUAGGAUACCUGGAGAGCAAAGAAGUCUGUUUACAGAGCAAGAGAUGCUCUCAAAACAUCAGGUCUCCUAGAAAUCUGCCUUUGGGGAGACAUAUACCCUUCCUUCCAUUCUGCCAAAACAACCAAAGCAUGUAAUCCACAGAGACAAUGGUCCAUACUCUUAAAACAACACACAUAAGAACACCUUUUUUUUGUGGUUGUCCCCCUUGCUCCCCAUGGAGGGGCCUUGCUGGAACCACCCUGCCCAGCCCUGGGGCUAUAUGAUUUAUUUAUGACACAGAAAGACUUAGAAUAGAGAUCCCUGCCCUGUUUUGCUUGAAACUGUGCAGAAAUGACCAAAAGGCCUCAGCUCAUCCCAAACUGGCAACCUCUGUCCCAUCACAACAUGGUGUGAUGACUCCUGAAGUUACUCAGGGCACCACCAGGACCUUCCAGUGUCAUUCCCAGAGGAAAGAGAAGCAGACAGGAAUAGCAAAAGCAGGGAUUAGAAGGCCCAACAGCUUCUGGGACACAUCAUCCCCAGACCAUCUUGAUGGUGCUAUAAGGGUAACCCACCCAUGACAGGUGCUGGGAGGGUUUUAUGACAAACACCGGCUUUGCUGUCCAAAAACACAACCAAGAGGCAACUAUAAUUCUCUUCUCUGCUCUGUGGCCUUUGUUCCUGGUCUGUUUUCUGUCUGGGUUUUGGAGAUUGAAAAGCUUGAGUUGGAUCCAGCUGUAAUUUUCCACUUCCCUUUGUCACAUCCCCCCCCAGCAAACUCAAUAGAGAUAAACAAACCCUCUACCCUUACAAACACUUUGAAUUUAGAACACACUUAUUGCACAGAAAAUGCCUCUUGUUGUCAGAGGCAACACUGGUCAAGAGCAAAAAAUGGGGUGGGAAUUUCCAUGGAUAAAUGCAGCACCCCUGGGAAUCUGUAAAGAGAUUUUGGGAGAAGGAUUAAGCUGCUUGGGGGGCCUAAGUGGGUCUCAGACUACAAAGUACAUGAGGGAGACAUGGAAGAGAGAGAAAAACAUUUUCUAUCCGCCCAAUUUUUCCACCUUCUUUUGAAGCACCUUCUACAGAUGGAAAUAGGCUGUUUGGGCUGGGAACUGUUCAGAGCUGGUUUAGGUUUGUUAACUCUGUCCUCCCACCUCCCACUUUGGAAAGGUAGGAUUGUGGUUCUUCUGGAAUAAUAUAUCUGCUCCUAAAAUCUGCUGGAAGCACAAUGCCAAUGCAGAGAAACUGAGUUCAGUUUGUUGGAGGAGCCCCCUCCUUCCAGAGGCAACCCCAGCCAUUGGAGGUUUAAAUGCGGAUGGCAAGGAAAAAAAAAAAAAAGGGAAUGCCUGGGAUUCUCAGAGGAUGUGUUUGAAGAGGAUAACAGCAAAGGAGGACAGCUUGUAAGUAAUCAGUUUACUUCCCCUCCAGCAACAGAUACCACUGUGUUUACAUCUAUAGCACCUUGCAUUGUGUCUGGUUAAAGAUCUGCUUAAACAUUUCAAAUUUCCAGCCAGUCACAUCCUUCUGCUGAAGGAUGGAAUAAGUCAGCUUUACACAGGACUUGAAAGGGAUUUUCCCAUUCUGCCCUCUCACAUGGCUGCUGGCUUGUCGUUUCCACCUCACUUUUGUUGUUGUUGUCAUCAAUUUUUUAUACAUAUUUCUAAUGACUUCUCAUUCCUGUUACCAGCUGUGGUUUCUGCUGGCAGGAGCUGCUCAGGGGUGUUAAUGUUCACAUCAUCACGUGUCAAACUCAGCAAUCACAGCCUGUCCUAAGGGCAAGGGAGGAAAGUCCUGCUCCGCCUCACAUGGGUUGUAUCUAGCAAGGGAAGGAAUUUUCUGUGUUCAAGGAGUGUCUUGGCUCGAAGUCCUCCAUUCCUGGACAACUUGCAAAGAGACUUCUCCUAAAAUGAGAAUUUAGCCUUAAGCCCAUUUUCUAGACUUGUAAAGUGAGGCAGGGCAGCAGUCCCAGCUUCCCAAGUGACAGCAUGGAAAACCCUAACUCCAGCCCACUCCCUUAACCAGCCUGCUUUGCACACCAGGGUCAGGGGACAACUUCAUGGAGUCCAAAAGAAGAGUCCUAAUGAGGGGAACAAGCACCAGCACACACAGUCAUGGCCAGUGACGGUGGAUGGAGCUUGGAUGAGUGACUGCAAUGUUGGUGAAGAAGCCACUCACCAGAGUUCCAAAGCUCUGGAAUCAUCAAGGGGAGAAGAUAGAACCCACCCCUGAAAGCAUUUGUGGUGCUGGCUCUGGCAGCAGGAAGGAGGGAUGGAGCCACAAGCCUAAAUGUUCACAGUUCUCCUCUUUUUCCAGAGCUUUGAACUGAUCCUGAGCUUUUCUCUUUCCCCAGUCCCUGACUAGGAACAGAAGGGGUGGGGAGGAGAUGUUCAUGACAUCCUUCUGCUGCCUUCCCAUUCCACAAUGACCACCUACAGUCACUGUGGCUCCAGCUUCCUUUACCUCUUCCCCCCACCUCUUCCACGUGUCCAUUCCCUGACACACACACUCCUGUGAGGAUCACAGGAGCUUUACACAUCACUUCUGGCCAGACUAUGGAGGGAGAGGGAUUCCUUCUCCUGUGGCAAGGCCAAAAGCUGGUGAAGAUCCAGGAACCAGAGGCUGAGUACCAAGAGUGUGAAGGUUUUAGAGUUAGAGGUAUUUAAAUUGGAUCACCGAGGAAGCCAAUUUCCCAUCUGGAAUGGCUGGAAUUCCUUUGUGCUGCUCUUCAGGUGCUUUCCUGCUGACCUGCAACCCCUCUCCAUGCCCUGAGCAUCUCUUGCUGACCCUGGCAACAAACAGGUAGGAGUGGGAUGAACUGGGAUUUCCCUCCCCCGGGGACUUCAUCUUCCCUCAACAGCUGUUGGAAGCUUGGAGCCACUUGUUUAAAGCCUCGGUCAGAACAAAAGGUUUCUCUGUCACUGUAAAGCAGCUUCAUUUGCAGGGCUCUCCCGGCCAAUGUGCUUCCCGAGCAGAGCCAUAGAUGGCAGUACGUGGUAUUUACAGAGUUGUUUCCCCGAGUAAAUCUUCUUAUUUUAGCAGAAAGCGAGAGAAUUUCAUUUCCUUGUAGUUACAACGCGCUCAGAAUGCGAAUCCUAAAUCAAUGGAGGAAGCAAGAAAAGCCUCCUUGCCUGAGCACUGGCAGACAGAGCUUGAAAUGCAAAAUCCCUCUGUGUUGUAUAGGAUUGUCUAUCCCCUUUCACAGGGAUGAUACCUGGAGAGUUAAACAAGAAAACAAUUUUCCAUACUGGAAGAAGAAGUUGAAGAUACCUCAAGUGACUGUCACAAAAGCCUGAAAUGAGCUCAAAAUUCCGGGAUCACUUUCACAAACCAGCAGCUGGGCAUGUGAAUGGGAGUUUAGUUCAGGCCAGUCAAAACAUUUUGAUUUCAAUACAUAUUCUCCCUUUGCUAUUGCUUUAGUAUCACUAGGUUAGCUUUAAAAAUUCAAAAUAAUAUUUAAGCAAUAAUGUUUGGGAUUUUUUUUCCUUCUUCUCUCCUUCUUAUAGAAAAACACUUCCACACACUGAUGUCUAAUACCAGUGAACUGAUACUUCUGCCCAAAGACAAAGCUAAGAACCCUACAAAAGGAAUAUGUAACUAAUUGCAAGUUUCUUUCUCUUACUGCUGAGUAUUUGGUUUAUCAGAGCAACACAGUGAAGAGACUUUAUUAAUCAAAGCUUUUUAUUACUUGAAGCAUUUUAAUAACUGAAGUACUGGUGUUGCAUCCGAUCAGCUGAUGCUUCUGGCCAGAGCUGGGGCAAACUCGCAUCUUCUCCCCUCUUGCAGCAGAAGAAAUGACUCUUACACCUGAAGUUAAAUAAAACCACUUUGGAAUGGAGAAAAAAAAAAGAAAAAAAUCUUCAUCAGGAACACUCCCUCCUUCCACAUUUAAAACUCCACACAGCCAAUGAGCCCACUAAAAAGUGGCACCUCCAACAGGAAUUUAUAAAUAAUCUCAGCCAGUAAAUGACCAGAUCUGUGGGUUGUUGCGUCAGGUUUGCCUGGCAAGCUUUUGGUAGUGGGGGGUGGGCUCCUAUGAGAGGCUUCUAGGAGCUUCUCCCAUGUCCAACGGAGUCAGUGCCAACCAGCUCCGUGAUGGAAUUGCCACUGGGCACAGCCAAGCCCACCAGCAUCUGUGCCAGCACUUCUGGGAUUUAAGAUUUAAGAAGGUGGGGGGGAAAAAAAGAUGAGUAUAACUCCAACCUAAGAGAGGAGUGAGAAGAUGAGUGAGAAACAGCCCUGAAAAUACCCAGGUGAGUGCAGAAGGAGGGGCAGGAGGUGCUCCAGGUGCUGGAGCAGGAAUUCCCCUGCAGCCCGUGGUGAGGCAGCUGUGCCCCUGCAGCCCACGGAUGCCCACGGUGGAGAAGAGAAAAUCAGGAGUGAAAGUGAAGGGGAAGAUUUUUUUAAGAAGAUUUGUAUUUAUUUCUCAUUACCCUACUCCAGUUUAAUUGGUAAUAAAACAAUUUCUCCAAAUUGAGUGUGUUUUGCCCAUGAUAGUAACUGGUGAGGGAUCUCUCCCUGCAUUUAUCCCAACACAUGAGCAUUUCCUUAUAUUUUAUCUCCCCUGUCCAGCUGAAAAAGUGCCUUUGAUGGACACCUACCACCAAGCCAGGGUCAACCCACCACAGUCAUCUCCUUGCCCCCAUGUUCCCAACACCCUGGGACUGAACUUCACUUGAUUUAUUUACAUACAAGGAUCCAAGUCAGCUCUUCACUGAUGUCAGAAGACAUAAGCAAAAAAACCCCAAACCAAAACUUAAAAAUUUCACACAUUAGUGGUUUACAACUUCAUUUUUCAGAUUGAAACAUUUCAAAUCAUCUCCCAAGCCUAAUUCUUAGAAGACCAAGUACUACCAGGCUCCCACAGAAACCAAUGGAGUUGGUGAGUGCUCAGCCCCUUUCAGGAUGUGUUCCUUUGAUUCUCACAUGAAUGAAAAUCUGUGGUUUUCCAAUAACUGUAUUUCACCCAAACAUCCUGAAAUCAAAGGCUGAUCCUGUGGUUGUGCAGAUCACAUGACAUAAACAUAUGUAAAACAUAUUGAUCUCCAAAUGUAGAGCUUAUUGAAGCUACCUUGGAAGCCCUUCAGUGGAAGGUGGGAUUAAUCUUGAAUAAGAUAAAAAAAAAUUAAUAUUAAAUAAACCAUUCACCUAAACUCA